GGGGUGAACAGAAAGGUGUCAUUUGUGACCCGCCAGAAUGACAGCACUGACAGGAGAAUGGCUGACAGCUGUUGGAGGUGCCACUGUGGGCUCACAGUCCUUAAGAACAAAGGCCUGGUUCCUGACCAGAUUCCAAGGAAAAUAAAGACCAAAGGAGUUUCAGAGAAGCGAGAGAUUUAUUCUGCCUGGCAGCGAGAGGAGAAAGAUUAACAAUGACUCUAUCGAAGAAGAGAUAUUUGACCUGGGUUUUUGAGAAGAAAUUGUAGUUCUCCUGAUGGGACUUGUAAGGAAGCAACCAAAGAAAAACAAAGAGCAAAGCGGGGAAGACAACCUUUCUAAGAAAUUGACUAAAGCUUCAUGCUGUGCAGAAAGCUAAAUUGCACAAAAGGCAAAAAGAAAGGAUUCAUGUGAUAUAACUGUUUUUAUCACUUGUUUCACUAUCUACUGAGGCCCUUGUUUGAUUUGGGGUGAAAUUACAAGGACCCCCAAGCAGACCUUACAUUUGUUCUCAGUUGUCACGUUUCAACCCCCACCCAAUCUUCAUGGCCUCUGUGGGAGAAACUCUGAGGACAUCGUGAUAGCUUAUCCCACAAUUCC
rnacentral:lncRNA from 1 species